rnacentral:rRNA from 1 species
GUGGGGAAUUUUGCGCAAUGGGGGAAACCCUGACGCAGCAACGCCGCGUGAGUGAUGAAGGCCUUCGGGUCGUAAAGCUCUGUCAGAGGGAAAGAAAUGCGGGAGGGUUAAUACCCCUUUUGCUUGACGGUACCCUCAAAGGAAGCACCGGCUAACUCCGUGCCAGCAGCCGCGGUAAUACGGAGGGUGCGAGCGUUGUUCGGAAUUAUUGGGCGUAAAGCGCGUGUAGGCGGUCUUUUAAGUCUGAUGUGAAAGCCCCGGGCUCAACCGGGGAAGUGCAUUGGAAACUGGGAGACUUGAAUACGGGAGAGGGUAGUGGAAUUCCUAGUGUAGGAGUGAAAUCCGUAGAUAUUAGGAGGAACACCGGUGGCGAAGGCGGCUACCUGGACCGAUAUUGACGCUGAGACGCGAAAGCGUGGGGAGCAAACAGGAUUAGAAACCCUGGUAGUCC